AGUGAGGUGCCUGAAUAAAGGGUCAUUUUGAUAGAGUGAAUUAAGUAAAAAUUACCCUUACUG
rnacentral:tRNA from 1 species